rnacentral:lncRNA from 1 species
GAAGUGAGGCAGAUCUGACUGUGACAUCUAUCAUGCCGUUGAUUACCAGGGUUAUUUGACUGAUUUGACUGGCUAGGUAGGUGUUCCCUUCCUCCCUCCCAGCUCUAUGUGUAUCCUUCCUAUAGGUGCAUGCUUGCUCAAAAAGGAUGACAUUCCUUGAUAAAGGAAAAGCCUGUUCUUUGGUCAAAGAUAUACAUGUAGCUGCCUUCCCCUGCAAGAAUUUCCAAACAAGCUCUCAAGGCAUUCUUAG